GACGAACGCUGGCGGCGUGCCUAAUACAUGCAAGUAGAACGCUGAAGAGAGGAGCUUGCUCUUCUUGGAUGAGUUGCGAACGGGUGAGUAACGCGUAGGUAACCUGCCUUGUAGCGGGGGAUAACUAUUGGAAACGAUAGCUAAUACCGCAUAACAAUGGAUGACCCAUGUCAUUUAUUUGAAAGGGGCAAAUGCUCCACUACAAGAUGGACCUGCGUUGUAUUAGCUAGUAGGUGAGGUAACGGCUCACCUAGGCGACGAUACAUAGCCGACCUGAGAGGGUGAUCGGCCACACUGGGACUGAGACACGGCCCAGACUCCUACGGGAGGCAGCAGUAGGGAAUCUUCGGCAAUGGGGGCAACCCUGACCGAGCAACGCCGCGUGAGUGAAGAAGGUUUUCGGAUCGUAAAGCUCUGUUGUAAGUCAAGAACGAGUGUGAGAGUGGAAAGUUCACACUGUGACGGUAGCUUACCAGAAAGGGACGGCUAACUACGUGCCAGCAGCCGCGGUAAUACGUAGGUCCCGAGCGUUGUCCGGAUUUAUUGGGCGUAAAGCGAGCGCAGGCGGUUUGAUAAGUCUGAAGUUAAAGGCUGUGGCUCAACCAUAGUUCGCUUUGGAAACUGUCAAACUUGAGUGCAGAAGGGGAGAGUGGAAUUCCAUGUGUAGCGGUGAAAUGCGUAGAUAUAUGGAGGAACACCGGUGGCGAAAGCGGCUCUCUGGUCUGUAACUGACGCUGAUGCUCGAAAGCGUGGGGAGCGAACAGGAUUAUAUACCCUGGUAGUCCAAGGGCGAAUUCCAUAUUGAUAUCAGCUGAUCUAUACCGGCGACCUCGAGGGGGGGAUCAGUAAUACAUUUUUGUUCCCUUUAUGUUGUAAUUAGGCUUCGAUUUGUUCCUGCGUGUGUGCAUGUGAUGUGGUUUGGAUUGUGAAGAUUGGGCGGUGACUGUGUGUUGUGUGUCUGUUGGAUGUUGACGUUUCUGCUGUGAGUGUGGUGUCUUAGUGUGAAUAUGAUGUGUUAUGUUGGUG
rnacentral:rRNA from 1 species